rnacentral:rRNA from 1 species
CCUACGUGAGGCUGCAGUGGGGAAUAUUGGGCAAUGGGCGCAAGCCUGACCCAGCAACGCCGCGUGAAGGAAGAAGGCUUUCGGGUUGUAAACUUCUUUUCUUAGGGACGAAGAAAGUGAUGGUACAUGAGGAAUAAGCGACGGCUAACUACGUGCCAGCAGCAGCGGUAAGACGUAGGCGGCAAGCGUUAUUCGGAUUUACUGGGUGUAAAGGGCGCGGAGGCGGGAAAGCAAGUCAGAUGUGAAAACCAUGGGCUCAACCUGAGACCUGCAUGUGAAACUGUUAUUCUUGAGUACUGGAGAGGCAGACGGAAUUCCUGGUGUAGCGGUGAAAUGCGUAGAUAUCAAGAGGAACACCAGUUGCGAAGGCGGUCUGCUAGACAGUAACUGACGCUGAGGCGCGAAAGCGUGGGGAGCAAACAGGAUUAGAUACCCCUGUAGUC